UAUUCAAUUAUAUUGAAAUUAAUAUGGAAACAAAAGUUCAUAAAUAUUAUUCUUAAUAACAAGAAUUGAGAUUUGGGGAUAAGUUUGAAAAGCCAUGUCAGAAGAGUAGGAUUAAAGACAAAGUAUUAAGAGUAAUUGGGCUGUUCCUGAACAAUAUUGAAUAUAAAUAUUCAAAAAUAUGAUAAACUGCAUAUCCUACUAAGUAGAUCAAUACCAAAAUUCCAUUAGAGAAAUAAGUUAAAAUUAUGUUUUACUUGUAUAAUUUUCUUGCUAUUUGUCCACCAUUAUUUGUGACUUAGAAAUUAAAUAGUCAAAAAGAA